rnacentral:rRNA from 1 species
ACUCAAAUGAAUUGACGGGGACCCGCACAAGCGGUGGAUGAUGUGGAUUAAUUCGAUGCAACGCGAAAAACCUUACCUACCCUUGACAUGGUCGGAACCCAGGAGAGAUUCUGGGGUGCCCGAAAGGGAGCCGAUACACAGGUGCUGCAUGGCUGUCGUCAGCUCGUGUCGUGAGAUGUUGGGUUAAGUCCCGCAACGAGCGCAACCCUUGUCAUUAGUUGCUACGAAAGGGCACUCUAAUGAGACUGCCGGUGACAAACCGGAGGAAGGUGGGGAUGACGUCAAGUCCUCAUGGCCCUUAUGGGUAGGGCUUCACACGUCAUACAAUGGUGCAUACAGAGGGCUGCCAACCCGCGAGGGGGAGCUAAUCCCAGAAAGUGCAUCGUAGUCCGGAUUGCAGUCUGCAACUCGACUGCAUGAAGUUGGAAUCGCUAGUAAUCGCGGAUCAGCAUGUCGCGGUGAAUACGUUCCCGGGUCUUGUACACACCGCCCGU